rnacentral:rRNA from 1 species
UACGAAGGGUGCAAGCGUUACUCGGAAUUACUGGGCGUAAAGCGUGCGUAGGUGGUGCGUUAAGUCUGUCGUGAAAGCCCCGGGCUCAACCUGGGAAUGGCGAUGGAUACUGGCGCGCUAGAGUGCGGUAGAGGAGAGUGGAAUUCCCGGUGUAGCAGUGAAAUGCGUAGAGAUCGGGAGGAAGCUCAGUGACGAGGCGGCUCUGUGGACCAGUCAGCUGAC